rnacentral:lncRNA from 1 species
CCAGCCCUAACCCCUUUCUAUCUCCCCACUCCCGUAACCCUCUAUCCCGACCCGCCGCCUGUUCUUCCUAGCCCCUCUCUCCCGCCGUAUGUUCUUCCGAUAACCUCUCUCAGUAUCUCUUUUCCCCUCUCUCGUACAGUGGAUGCCUGGACGGAAUCAUUCUUGAUCUUGUCAUCUCUGCUCUGGUCGUCUCUACAUCUAUGCAUUCUCCAAAUUCCAAUCCAGGAUCGAUUUUGUUUCUACAUCUCUACAUCUCUAUUCUUUUCAUUUGUUUAAUGUUGUAUCUUCAUAAAUCUUAUGUUUUUGUUUCUUAUUUUUCAUUCGACAUUAUGAAUUUUCAUUUCUUGAAAAAAAACCCAUGUUGUUUUUAAAUUCUGACAAUCUUUGAUUAGUUCCAACAUGCAGUGAUUUAACUUUGGGUUCUAUGACUUGUUAAUUGAUAUGGGGAUUCUGGAUUUUAACUACUGAUAUCUGAUUUACUUUUUCUGUUGAAAUCUGCUCAGGGGGUAUUUGAGUUUCUGCAUUUCGUUUGCUGAGGCAGUGUUUUACUGCUUGUUAAGUACAUGUGCACCCUAAUGCUUGAUGUAAAUUUGUUUAAAACACAAGUGUUUUAUGUUUACCAGUCUCAGAGAUUUCUUCUUUCUAUGAGUACAUUUUUCAUGAAUUACAUAGCUGUUACGUGGUCAAUCUGAAAUGAAGCAACAUAACAUUAUAGUGUUGUUAUAUUUUGUUGGCCUAUGGAUAUUGAUCUUUAAACAUUUACCUUAAAUGCGGUACUGAAUUGGAAGACCAUAACAAGGUCAGGUUUGCGUUGCAUGCCCCAGACCUAGAGUCUCGUUUGUGUCGUAAACUGAAGAAUACUGUGACAUUUUUCUCGUGCCAUCUUUUUUUAUUUGACGUCUCUUCAUUCAUACGAUGUGAACUCAAUCUAUUGUCCCUUUUUUUUAACAGGGAGAGUUCUAUAAUUGUUCGGGAUGCGGUAACACAUUCAAUUGCAACCAUCAUGUUGUGCGCCAGUUUAUUGUAGACUGCUUGAUGUAGAAUUUCCUGAAUGUUCAGUCUCAAUUUUAUCAUAUAGAAUUUCUUAUCAUUUGAAAUAUGCAUUGGUGACUUUGAUGUGGAACCUAUUUAUAGCUCAAUUGCAUUGCAUAAUUACAUUGUGAGCUCUGAGAUCUAAAGUUGUGCAUAAUACAUUGUGUUCUUCUAUCUAAUUGUUGUGUAAUAGUCAUGUAAUAGUGUCAUUCCAUAACCCAAAGUGUGCUUCAGAAAAUCAUGUCAUUUGUCUCUAUAUGACAUAUCCUCAUAUCUGUUCCUGCUAUAUAUUAUUUGCAUUCUUGCUUAGUUGUUGUGCCACUGUUAUAAUGAAUCUUCAUUUCUUCAUUCAUUUUUUUUGAAAAAUAAAUGGUUCUUAAAAUUCAUUUAAGUUAGUAAUAGUUGGUGUCUUGAAAAAACUUUAAGUCUGCAAUUUCAACAUACUAAUAUCUUGUCUAAUGCUGAAUGCUUUAUUUUAAAUAUAAAUAAUUGGUUCAAAAUUCCCACUGGGCGUGCAACCUUUUCUUAAAAAAAAGUAUUAUGUUUUUCAUUUGAUUAUUUGUGGUUUAUAUUUCUUUACGGAUAACGGAUCGGGUCAUAUUACCUGUUAAUAUUAUCGAGUCAAUUUCAGGUCGGGUCAUUUUUUACCUGUUUAUUUUAACGGAUGUUACACGACACGACCCGUUAAGAUAUCGCGUAUGACACGAAAACAACACGAACACGAGAAACAAGACAUGAAUGCCAGGUCUAGUAGUAAACAAAGAAAUCCCUCAUGGUUCUCCCUAUACUUUGGAGGAUUGUCUUCUUAUAAUAACCUUUGAUUGGUCCAUAGAGUUUUGUCAACAGUAGCAUCCCUGUACAGAACAAGCUCGCAACAGUACCCUUGGGCCAGCACAGUUUGCCAGUACCGUGUGUUGUAUGCUUUUAAAUCUAUCAUUUGAUAUGAGCUAAAUAAAAUAAAUUCAAUUCAAUUUAAAAACCCAAACUGGAAUCAAAAUCGAAACAAAUUUAACACAAGAAAAGUUAUACAAUUUAGAAAGGACAGAAAUACAGACAUAUAAGAAAGAGGUAUUCAUCAAUUUCCCCCCUGAACUUGUGACUAUUGGCCAAUUUCCCCCCUUAACUUUAAUUUUGGCCAAUUUCCCCCCUCAACUCUCAUAAUUAGUCAAUUUCCCCCCUCAACUUUAAUUUGGCCAAUUUCCCCCCUCAACUCUCAUAAUUAGUCAAUUUGCACCCAAUUGUUAAUUUUUUUUUUUAAUUCUCCAUCUAUUUUUUUUUUUUUUCAAUCUUUCUAAUAACUUCCAACAAAGUACUAAAAUUAACAUAAACUCACUUGCAUAAUAUAGGGUAAAAUGUACAAAAACAUUAAUACAAUUAGUAUGUGAUAUGGGUUGAUUAUAAGAAAAAGUUAUGAAUCGGGUUUAAAGCAUGUAAAAGAAGAAAUAAUAACAAAAAGACAUAAUAAUCAUAAACUCAUGGAUCAGACCUAUUUCAAUAAAAUAGGUUAUUCUUAAUAAUGAGUAAAAAAUUAUGAAUUAACUACCCAUUUUUGCACUAAAGCUCGAUUCUCUGCAAUUUACUUGAACUUAGCUUUCACUUUUAUAAAGAAAAUUGUAUUCACAUACAAAAAUGUACACAUCAAUCCUUUUCGUUAUCAAUUUUGUAUAGUAAAAAAUCAAAUAAAAUUACUCCAUACUGAUUUAUUAUGACUAAUAAUACUAUCUAUGAUAAAUUGUAAAAUUCUAAAUUUUAAUCUAUUUGUAAUAGGAUAAAGAUAUAGGAAAAUGAUUAACAUACAUCUUAUUUAGUUUCUUACACACACUUGUUUAAUUAUGAUCAAAUUAAAAAAUUAAUAGUAGAGUGCAAAUUGACUAAUUAUGAUAGUUGAGGGGGGAAAUUGGCCAAAUUAAAGUUGAGGGGGGGAAUUGACUAAUUAUGAGAGUUGAUGGGGGAAAUUGGCCAAUAGUCACAAGUUCAGGGGGGAAAUUGGCCAAUACCUCUAUAAGAAAAGGUAUACAUGGUAUAUUAUAAUUGAACAAAAUGUUAUGGUGUUAUUAUUACUUGAUUUAGGGGAUCGGGAGAAGUUUGGGCUAAACCACAUAAUAGAUUGAACUUGACAUUUACUCACAAAUAUAGAAGAAUAUCACCAGACAGUAGUUAGAUCAUUUAGUAAAUCAGAUACACAUUGAACAAGUCAACGGAUUUGAUAACAAUUAAGAUCUUCAUUAGGCAUGAUCCAUUAAUUGGUGAUUAGAGAAUAAACCGUUUCAAUUACGACAUGUAUACAACGAUGACUUGGUAAUCCUACAACAAUAUAUAUAUAUAUAUAUAUAUAUAUAUAUAUAUAUAUAUAUAUAUAUAUAUAUAUAUAUAUAUAUAUAUAUAUAUAUAUAUGGUUGUUUUGCCUGUAGUAGAUCUCCAAUAUUAACCACUAGAGCACUAGGCACAGGGGGAACAUCAACCCCACUUAUCCGAUGAAUCUGUUCAAGUCUCUGGAACUUAUCUGUAAAGAAAUGGAUUCUUUGGUUACCAAUUUAUGGUGGGGCCAUGAUGUGAGGGAGAGGCAUAUCCAUUGGGUUUCAAAGGACAUUCUUCGAUUGCCCAAAGCUCGAGGGGGUUAGGUUUUCAAAGCUUUAUGGAGUUUAAUGAUGCCCUUUUAGCGAAACAACGUUGGCGUAUAAUUCAAGUUCCGGAGUCACUGUGGGCGAAGGUGUUGAAGGCUAGAUAUUUUCCUCACUGUUUGUUUCUGGAGGCCAAGCAGGGAGGUCGUGCUUCAUGGGCUUGGACAAGCUUGUUAUAAGGUUGUGAUAUUCUACUGUGAGGCGCCCAUUGGCAGGUGAUGAGUGGCCAGCAGAUUACGCUCUGGCGCGAUAGAUGGUUACCUUCACUUCCUGUACUCAUUGGCAACAUUCUCAGCUUACUCCUCCGUCGCCCCGAUACUCCUCCUCGACUGCUUCCAUUCCAGUGAGAUUAUGGAAAUGGGUGUGGCAGCUUCAUACUCCCCCUAAUUUAAAAUGUUUUAUGUGGAAGACCUUGCAUCGGGCAAUUCCCACGAUGGCAGCUCUUUACAGCCGGAAAUCUGCGCCUUCACCGCUUUGCCCUUUGUGUCUUUCACAUGAAGAGUCUGUUGAACAUUUGUUUCUUCUCUGUCCAUGGGUGAACGCUAUUUGGUUUGGGGGUGCUUUAACUUAUUGAGUUAAUCCUCCGGAAAUUACAUCGUGGGGUGCUUGGCUUCAGGCUGUUCUACAGGAUCAUGUUCUUUCCAAAGAAGACCUGCAACAGGUUCUUUCUCUCAUUGCAUUUUCUUGUUGGCAUAUUUGGAAAGCACGGUGUCGUUUCCUUUAACAACAUGAAAAUAUCAAUCCGUUGCAGGUCCUCGCUACCAUUUCCACCAAUGUGGCGGCUUUCCUAGAUGCUAGACUGACUUCCUCCAGUCUCAUUGUGGAGGACCGGUUAUGUGGGUGUCGCCAACUCUUCCCUUUGUCAAAAUAAAUGUUGAUGCCAGUUGGGAUGUUGCUACGGGCACUGGAUAUGCAGGGGUGGUGGUGCGGGAUUCUUUGGGGACUUUCUUGUAGCUCGUCGCACAACACUUAAGGCGGCUUGCGUGGCUUCUGCGGAACCCUUGGCUGUGCAGAGUGGUUGUGACUUGGGUCUCUCUUUGGGUCUUACUCAUGUGGUUGUUGAAUCGGAUUCACACGACACUAUCUCCUGUUUGAGGGGUUUAAUUUCUGAGGGCAGGUGGGAGGCUUUUCCUAUUUUAGCGAAGUGUGUGAAGCUUGCGGAAGCCUUUCACGUCUGUCUAUGGUCUUGGAUUCCAAGAUCAGCAAAUUUGAUGGCUGACCAUUUGGCGUCUCCAACGGUGUGUGGAGAUGUGUGAUGUGUAUUGGGUUGAUAGGCUCCCAUCUUCACUUGUGCAUAUUUUAAAUAAGCAUGGUUUACCUUGUCUGCCAUAAUUUUGUGGGGGAGGUGCUAGGGGGGACACUUUGAGCCUUGGUUUGAGUGUCGGGUCUUCUAACCCCUGUACUUCCUGGUUGUGUUUGGUUGAUUGCCGUUGUUUGGCUUUCGUUGUUCGGUUGGGCCUCUCUUGCCCGGUUAAUAUAGUUCUGUUUGUCAAAAAAAAAAAAAAAAAAAAAACAAAACUUGAAGACCUCCAAUAUAUUACUGCAGGAGGAUUGUGAGGAAGUCUUUGUCAGUGUGCUUGCUUCUGCCCAUAGUCAACUCUGGCUGUGGACAAGCAGGAUAGUAAUGGCCAAGAAUAAGAAGCCCAUCACUACAAUCUGUCUUUUAAGUGACUUGGGACAAGAGCCUCCGACAACAACUCGAAUAAUAACUUCCCCAACUUCAUUACUUGCGUCGAAUAUUCAACUAGUACGUCUCUGCAAGUUGAAAUUAAUACGGAAAUUUAACCAAUAUGAUAAGUUGAGCGGCUUAUAUGUGUAUCUCUUUCCUUUCCAGAUUCUAAAUUUUGUUGUACUCAAUAAGACGAACUCCAGCCCUGCCUUAUGUCCAAUAAAUUCAGGCUUUUGCCUUUGAAAAUGGGUUUCCAGAGUUGGCCGAAAGAUUGGCCCAAGAAAUAAAAAAGCAAGAAAUAAUGAUUUUUAUUUUUAAAAGUAUUCAGCAUAUGGCACUUUACCAUAACGGCCAAAAGCAUAAUGUUCAUGCACAUUGGUGUGGAUUUAAUUUCUACCAAUCUCCUUCUCACUAACAUUUAAUAAUUUAACUCACUAACAUUAUUAUUUGUCAAAAUAAAACGAUUCAAACCGAACUUCAAAGUUGUUCUCCAUAUUUCAAUCUCCACUCAGACUAUCCAUUCCAUAUAAUAAACAGCAAAUGAAUUCUAUAUGCAAUUGUUGUCUAUGUUAUACCGGUCAAAGUACGUAUCUCCAUAACCACCAAAAGUAAAUACAUGAUUAAGUCAUCUAAUCCAUUAAUCAUUAUAAAGAUCUAAUUUAAAAGUUACCACUGAUUGCAGAGAAUUAUAAAUUCCCUUGUCACAUACCUGCAUACUUGAUGCAAGUCUUAUGGCUUAGUAAGAUUAGGAGCCACAUAACACAAAAAAGUAUCCCUCCAAUUAGUUGCCGGUGCACUGUAAAGGUCAAAGUUGCUAUUGUAGACCACAGGGAUCGCCCUUUAGAGAGAUUUUUCAAUAUGACAGGAACAUAGAAUAAUAUAUCACGUGUCAUUAUACAAACUGUUAGAUAUGUGUGUUAAAAAGUUAAUAACUUAAAAAAUAAACUUCUCGUCAUUUAUAUAAAAAUACGUGAUGUACUACUCAUGUUUCAGUCACAAUGAAAAUUUUCUCCUUCACAGCUCAAAAAACCCACGUACCCCAUCCUUUAUCUCCUCCAGAACAUCAACAGGUAUUCCAUGGUUGACAAUUUGAAAAAAGCCCCAAGUCUCUGACGCCUCUCCGACUUUCGCAACAAUCUCCUUUCGUUUGGUUGGACAAUCAAGUCGAUCAAGGCCUUGAAGGUCUAUGACUGAGAUGCUAAACUGGGUGGCUUCUGAAUCAGAGCCGGAGUUGUUGAUGGGGUAGUGAACAUCCGACUCUGGUGGAUGAUGAAAAAUUCUAUGAACCUCAGUUAUGCCCGCAUCAACGAGGCCUUUAACUCCUUUGGUGUCAUCAAAAGCCUUUACCUCACUUUUCCGGUCGUAAUUUGUGUUGAUAGCUACCAUCUUCGUGUGUGACUAGAUUUGAUUCAGAUAAUUGGUUUGCUGAUAUAUUAAGUUGCGCGAGGAUAUCAUUUUAUAAUGGUUGAAGUUGAACGAAUAGCGAUAUUAUUAUAAGAAGCGAUAUUCAUUAUAAAGGCCAAAAGAUAAUGCCAUUAAAACUUGACUGGAUUGGCAAUGAACAUGAACAUCAACAAUGGAUACUUAAGAUAUGGUCCCUAGUUAUCAAUGUUCUCUGACUGAAAUCUUAUUGGUUUUCAGUUUUUUAUCAAAAUUAUCGAUGCUAAUUUCCGCCGUCUUCAAUUAACGAAAAUGCACCUGCAAAACAAUUAACACCUUUGAUCAAAUACCUAAGCCUCACGCACCCACAAGGUGGGGGGUUAGAUAAAUGGAUCUCCGAUGCCUAAGUCAGUUUCUCUGAGAGAGUAAAAUGUUUAGGGCUUUUUUAGGGGUAGCAAAAGCUCUGAAAAUUUGGUAGAAUAUGGGUUAUUUAUAGGGAUAGGGCCGACCACAAUGUUAGGGUUUUACCCUACACGUGGCGGCAUCCUAUUGGCCAAGGUGUUUAUGGAGAAAUAUUCUCAAAAUAUUCUCAAUAUAUUAAAUAGGAAAUAAUAUCUUGAGAUAAUGGUGUAAUUAUCCCUAAUUUAUUUAAAUUGGGAUUACUAACUUGAUUGGAGUCAAUUUUCAAUUGGAAAUGUAUUAAAGAUAGGAUUUGGGUAAUUAAUCUUUAUCUUUAAUUUGACUUUUCCUUGUCAAUGACAGGUGAGCUAUGGGAAUUCAGCUGCUUGGACCUUCAGGGAUGUGAGCUGCGCUUGGGAGUAUCUGAGAAGUCUGCCCAUUUAUUGAGGACAAUCUUGUCUUUCUUGAAUAAAAAUCAACAUGUCGCAUCUAGAAUUUUUGGGAUUAUUUUAGGCUCCACAAAAAUCCCUGACAUUAAUGUAAUAAUGUAUUUCUAUGUAUGUUACUAUAUUUCAUGCAGGUUACAACCUUAAUAAUUUUUUUAGAUAGGAAGUUUUAUCUCUUGUAUGUUUUAUUUCUCAUUGAUUUUCAUUUUUUAUAAUUUAAAUUUAAAUAAAGAAAAAGAAUAAUAUAUGGCUCUCUCAAUUGCGAUCUGUUAAUCGAUUACACAGUCAAGGAAAGGUGGCCAAAGUUAAUUUUCUUGGGACCACUGGCGGAGGCACCUUGAGACUAGGGAUGGCCGAGGCCUAUCCUGACUUUUAUGCAUUUGGAAAUUAUGCAUCUUUUAUUUGCUUGAAGCCCUGCUUUUCAAAUUCCAAACAUAACCCCAUUGGUCCAUUUUACAAUUGAAUUUAAUAUUUUAUCUAUCUCCCUAAUACAAAUUAAUAGCAUUUAAAAUCAAAGCAACAAUUCACCUUUCUUUGAAGAGUAAUAGUUCAGUUUUAGUCAUAAAAAUUAAGAAACAGUCCUCUUUUACAAUGCAGCCAGACUCCAAAACUAUUCCCCUUUCUCUUUGAAAUCUCAUACAUUUUAUCAUCCAAAUCCGAAAUGUCGUCAACAAAUAAGUCUCAAAUUUCUUUAAUUCUCUAUUGUUUCCUCUCUAUUCUACACUUACAAGAGAGUUAAGAUCGUUCGUAAAAUUUUUGUGAAUGAAAUAUUAUUGAUGCAUAUAUAUUUUGGAAUUUUAAUUACCUUUGAUGCAUCGUUUUUUAAGAACCUUUGUAAGAGGCCCAUCCUCACAAAAAAUCUUGGCUCCGCCACUGCUUGGGACUACAAUGCUAUGUGGGAUCGAGGUGGAUCUAGAAAUGCGUUCGUCGAGUUGCAAGCAUGUGUGGCUAGGGUUGGAGUUUGGGUUAAGAACAAGGUGGAUGGCAGGGUGGAUUUAUCUAAUUUUUUUUUCAUUUUGAAAUUAUAUUUCUUUCUAUUUUAAUUGAAAAAAAAAUAUUUUUCUAUAGCAUGUUGUAAUAGUUUUAUGAAUUUUUUAACAGAGAUUGGACGAAACAUCCUUAAUUACAAAUAAAGAUAAACAAUAAGACUAAAUUAGCCGAAUUGAAAAUAUGGAAAUUAAAUUGAUCAAAUAGCUAUAACAUAGGGAUCAUUUGAUAUUUAAGCUAAUAAAAUUUUAGAGAGUUUUCACAUAAACAAAUUGGUCAACUCUUUCUCGUCAUGUCCGACGGCUAACCAAAUUUGCAGUCAAAAUGGAAGUCGAAAUGCGUGGCAUUUUUGGCUUUAUUUGGUAGGCGGCAUGUUAUAUUAUGAUUUAUAACUGGAAACUUAAUGUAAGCCAACAUAUUAUGACUCCACCAUAUUUCAAGCCUAUCGCAUGUUAUUAGAAGGAGGACGCUUAUUUUGGACACAUUUUUUAGGGUCCACAAGUAACGUUUUUUUGAAGAUUUAACUGGAAAAUUUAAAAUUUUUAUUGUUAAAUUAAAUAAUCGUCAUUUUAGUAUUUCCCGUGAUAUUUUUGUUUAUCUUUCAUUAUAAUGAAUGUCUUAAUAGUUUUGAAUUUGUCAAAUUGUUUACAAAGAAGUUCUAGGAAUGAUGAAUUGAAGGGGUGUAAUAUCCACACACCCCUUUUUACUUCUCAUACACCUUUCUAAUUUUCGGCCGUCGGAUCGAAUGAAAUGAAGAAGAUCUAACAGAUAGAAAUUAACAAGGGUGUGUAAGAAGUAAAAAGGGGUGUGUGAGAAGUAAAAAGGCAUGUGUGGAUAGCACACCCCGAAUUGAAAUAUUAGAUUGUUCGGAUCCUUGAAAACAAUUAUGAAAUGAGAACAAAAGAAAGUGUGUCUAAAUGUGUGUAUAAAAAUAUUUGAACCAUAUUACUACUAGCCCAUUACGAGGCUUUCCCGCCACCUCUCAUUGGUAUAAAUAAUAUCGUUUAUUUAAGAAAAAAUAUAUAUGUAUCAUCGGUCUUGAUCCUUAUUAAUUAGACCCCUCUCCUUAGUGUAAAUAAUAUCGUUAUAUAUAUAUAUAUAUAUAUAUAUAUAUAUAUAUAUAUAUAUAUAUAUAUAUAUAUAUAUAUAUAUAUAUAUGUAUCCUCGAUCCUGAUCCUUAUUAAUUAGAUAUGAAUUAACCAAAACAUAAAGCAUGAGGGUCAAGAAAAUAGUUGAUUCACAAGAAAAAUUUGCUUUUGUGGAAAACACAACAAAGAUAAGUCAUAGAUGUUUUUAUCCGGAAUUGUUAUUUGCACUCCAAAAAUCUCAUUUAAAACUCCUUACAAGUGUAUUUUUCUUUCCAAAUAUAGAAAAUUUGAAGUGCAAAAUGAGAAUUGUAGAGUGCCAAUAACAAUUCUCUUUUAUCCAACCACAACAUACAUACAUACAUACAUACAUACAUAUAUAUAUAUAUAUAUAUAUAUAUAUAUAUAUAUAUAUAUAUAUAUAUAUAUAUAUAUAUAUAUAUAGAACAAUUAUGCAUAUUGGGAAAGAAAAAAAAAAGAAUUGAAUAACCCAUUUACAAAUUCUCUUGAACAGCCUCAAUUCCACUACAUAAACCAUUUGUUCAUUGCCGUUUCUACUCUGGGUUUAAAUUCAAACCUUGAAAUAGACAAGGCAGAUGUUUCGUCAAGGCCUUUUUUAUUGAAAUCGGAAUGAUAGUCCUUUAUAGUGAUCUCCUUGUACUUUGGAGGAUUUUCUUCUGAUAAUAACUCCUUGAUCGGUCCAUAGAGUCUUGCAUAUGGUAACAAAUGGUGUAAGUGUUACAUAUGAAACAAAGAAAUUAAUAUGGAAAAAUAUAACAAGACAAACAAUCUAAUGAUUUGGCCUAAGUCUACAUCUAGUUCAAAGACGGCGAGAAAAUUCCACUAAUAAUCAAAAUGAAUAUUACAAAUAGAGUUUAACUUUAAAUACCAAUAACUCUCACUCAAACAAAGAACAAAUGGAAAAGAUGAAAAUACAUAUCAAAUCUUUGAGUGAGUGAUUACCUACAAAUGGGGAGCAACUCUUUCUUCUUUUCUUCCCAAAGAGCUCUCUACGCUCUCCCAUCUAAAACAUAAAUUAUUGCUGCCUUUUAUACAGAAUCUGCUGCUAGCGACUCACGUUGCUUUCACUUGAGCAGCCAAAGGCUCAUUUACUUUGGGCAGUUGGGCUGCUGGGCUCACAGAAUUGAGUCACAAUCCAACAACAAAACUCUGAUAAACAAGCUAGCGACGGAUAUUCUUGGAUCUGCCAGUGCUGUGUGUUCUACACUUCUGAACCUAUCAUUUGAUGAGCAAGAACUCCAAAUAAUUCACUAUAAGGAAUGUAUAACAUUCAGAGCGGAGAGAGAUAUAAAAGAUGAUGAAGAUGAAGAAUUGGUACUUACUUGUAGAAGAUCUCCAAUGUUAACCACAAGAGCUCCCGGCACUAGCGGAACAUCAAUCCACUUCUUGUGAUGAAGAACUUGGCGACCACCAAUAUGAUCUUGCAGAAGAACUGUGACUUGUGAGGAAGGCACUGUCUGUCAGCAUGCAAGCUUGUGCUCAAAAGUUAACUCGGGUUGUGGACAGGCGAGGCAGUAAAUUUUAUAAUUAUUAGAAUUCAAGAAAUUCUAAAGAUCAUUUACAUAGCACUAAUCAACAACUUAAUUACUUUAACAGAUCGCCAUAAAUUAUUACAAUCAGGUAUUUUAUUUUUUAAUUUAAUACGGCAGAUUUUGACAAUCACCUUACGUAAUGUUGAUAGCAGUAGCUCAAAGCUUGAAAUAAGACGAGGCAGACGUGCCAUCAAGGUCAUUGUUACGGACGUAAAGAAUGUAAUCCCUUACAUUAGUCUCUGAAGAAAGUUAAGAUUUCAUCAUGACAAUAUAUAGAGUAGUCAUGUGAGGAUGUCAAAGUAAAAUUGUUCAAGCAGGAAUUUCUGUGGAGAGGGUCCCUGGCUCGAGCACACAGCUCCUCGAGGAGUUGGCACUUUGGUUGGUUGUCGGACUCCUACUUGUCGAGAGGUUGCAAGAGGAGGACAUAGUUAAUUCUGAAAUGUGCCUUUAUGGGGCCUUAGGUAUAGACCUUGAAGCUCGCAAUCAAAACUAACUAAGUGCUAAGGCGUGCCACUAUCAUCUCAGUAUGGCAGAUGUGGAACAAGUGUGUUUAAGUCGAUUACUUGAGCCCCAAGUUAUUCUGACUUCUUGUUAUCAAAGGAUUGUCAUAGAUGGGUUAAAUCUACAUUAAGUUCUUUUCUGUACCUUGAGAUCAAGGACUUUUAGCUCAUUAUCUUGCAUGCUUAAAAGGGUGGAAGUCCAGAUCUGACUAAGUCAUUGGUUUAAUCCCUAUUUGGUCUUUUAUGACAGUAAAAACCACUAAGUGAACCAGAUUUGAGAACCAAUGGAACUUUUGAUCAUCAAAUGACUGGAAAUAACUUGAAUAUAUACUGAAGAGUACAUCAUAAUACCAGAUCUACUAAUUGAAAGACAAGACAAAAAGAGUCGGGCAAGAUUUCACCUUGUCGGGCAAGGUUGAACAUCUUGCAAUCUCUUCAUCUUGUGGUUACAAAAGGUGGUGUGUUAAAAAGGGAUGGAUGGUCAACAAGUUUAUACGAGGGAAUCGAUACUACAACAUCUAGAGAAGGUAGCAGAGCUUUUACACUGGACAAAAGAUGUCUUUCUAAGGGAACUAUUGGCUAAAAAGGCUUGAAAGGUACGAACUGUCUUGAGAGCAGAGUUUGUAUGCUUGUUUGCUUGAUUGGUUGAGUGUCCUUGUUUCUGGGCCCUUUCUUCCCUUUUAUAGGCAUUUCGUCUUGGUUGUUGCAAGCUUUGCUCGAAAGCACUUCAAUGAGACAUCAUUCUUUUUACAUGUUCUACCACUAGAAAGUGUUUUUGGGAGUGGGCUAAUUUCCAUCGGCUGUCAUUUCCAUUGUAAGCUCAUAGCUUUUGCAUUAAUGAUGAGCUGUCAUAUUGUCUUGAGAUGGAUGGUUGGGCUUGGUGAUGGGCCUCAGGCAAGUCUUUUCACUUUAGUUCUUUUAGGCUUUCCUUCCUUUAAGUCCAAAGUUAAAAAAAUUAACCAAAACAGUGCCCCCUUUAAUCGUUGUUGAGUCUGCGGCCCAAGAUGCUAAUAAUGAUUAAAUAACCACCCAAGCCUUUACUAGGGACUUGCACCGUUUUGAAGCAACGGUUGGUUAACCGAACCUUUGCACUACCCCAUGAAUUCCAACCGUCAAUUAACCAUUUAUAUAAAUCCCCUUUGUUGGCUAAAUACCUUAGCCAUUUCGAAUCUUCAAACUUCUCAGAACUUACUAAGCCUUCACAAUUUCCAGAAAUUUUGCUUUCCUUUACUCUUUUAUUAUUCUACUGCCUCUUCGAAUUUUCUCAGAUGGCUCCAAAAACUAUCCCCGCUUAAUCUCCUUGUGAAACUGUUGAGGAAAUUUCCACCAUGUGUUGUUUGCUUAACGGUCUUCAUUGUCCUCGGGCCGGCGGCAGGACCGUAGAUGUUACCCAUGACUGGUCAUUAGUUUCUAUAGUAUUCUCAGAAAGGCAUACUGCAUCCAGCUCCUAUUUUAGGACUUCUAUGGCCUUGAAGAGUAGCCGAGCAGUUUUAAUCGCACUGGUAGAUUCUACUUAUGCUGAUAUCCACAAGCCCCGACUUCCCCCUAGCUUUUGCUUUCUUGAUCACUUCAUUAUCAUAUGUGUAUGCUUCGGGAUCAACUACCAUGACUUUGUUGGCCCAAAACCUUGGUCCGACUUAUGGAUGAAGCCUCAGAAGAUUUGAAGAAGUCAAGACAACAAAUGUUGGAGUUGGAUAUGCCGAAACAUAUUUAGCUAAUAGUAGCUUUGUUUAGGAGGAGCCGGGUAGAAUGUAGACCUACUAUUUUAAGAUAGCUGCCCUAGUCAAGGAUGCAAAACUAUUAAGCUAAUUCUGAUGUAAUCUUAAACAUUUACUAAAAUAAAAAUGACUUCUUCAAUUUACUUUGGGUUGCAUUCUUUUCUUGAGAGCCAAAUAUGAUGAGCCCAAAAUUGACUUAGGUCGCAAUGCUUAUACUUUUUCUAUGUAGCAAUCCCUAACAUCCCACAAGGUUGGGCGAUAAUUUUUCAAAAACUUAGCGUUGAUUGGAAACUUCUAUAAACUUCCCUCCACAUCUGCCAAGUAAUAUCCACCCUUGUCCAGUACUUGGUUAAUAAUAAAAGACCCUCCCAAGUCGGGCUCACAUCCCAAAGCUCCCAAAGGCAAAAUUGCUUUCCAAACCAGCUUUCCAUCCUUGAAGGCCUUUAAUUUCACCUUUUUAUUAUAGGCUCAGGCAACAGCUCUUUUUCCAUCUUGGAUUUUAUCUAGAGCUUCAAUUCGGACUAUAUCUAGAUCUUCAACUCCUUGACACAUAGCCUGAAUGUAUUCUUCACUGUGUAGCCUGAAUUGGUUAUGAAUCCUAAUAGAACUCACAUUGAUUUCCAUAGGGAGUACAUCGUCUUGCUCGAAGGUUAGAGCAUAAGGAGUAGUUCCAGUUGUUGCCCUUUUGAAAAUUCUGUAAGCCCCCAAAGUAUCUCCCAACUUCUCAUGUCAUUUCUCUGGAUUCUCGACCACCAUUCUUUUAAUAAUGUUCACUAGGAUCUUGUUACUGGCUUCUGCUUGGCCGUUUGACUCGGUUUAGUAAGGACUAGACUGGACCAUCUUUAUCUUGAACUUACUUGCAAACUCCUUUACUUCUUUUGAAAUAAAAGAUGGUCCGCGGUCUGUGACAAUUGUCUUGAGCAUCCCAAAUCUAUGUAAGAUCUUGGUUUUAAUGAACUUCUUGACUGCAGUUGAAGUGAUAGUCUUCACAGCUGAGGCUUCUACGCAUUUGGUGAAAUAAUAUGUUGCCAUGAUUAUGAACGUAUGCCUUUUACUAGAAGCUGGGUGAAUUUGCCCGAAGAAAUCCAUUGACUAUCCUUUAAAGGGCCAUGGCUUAACUACAAGGUUUAAGGGUAUUGAGGGCACAUGUUGGAGUGGUCCAUGUCUUUGGCAUUCUUCACACCCUCGGGCAUAAGCUUUGCAGUAUUUCUCCAUCUCGGGCCAGAAAUAGCCAUAUCUUCUAACCAACCAUCUUAUCUUAGUUCCAGCAUAGUGUGCUCCACAUAUUCCUUCAUGUACUUCGGCCAUUACCCUCAUUGACUUUUCCUGGCCUAAGCACUUCAGUAACAGUCCAUCUGGAGUCUUUCGUAACAUAGAUUUAUACCACAUGACAUAUUUAGUUGCUUGUUGUCUAUUUUUCUUACUUGUGGGGAAUGAUAGAUCCUUCAAAUGCUGAACAAUAGGUGUCAUCCAAUCUUCUACUCUACAUUUCUUCAGUCAUUACAUCUAAGUUGAAUCCUCUUUCAAAGAUAGAAGGAAGAUUUCUUUUCUGAACUUUUAUAUCCCCUUUAAACUUCCUUUCUUGGAUUUGUGCUCCAUAAGUUAUUUAUGCCAUUUCAUUGGCAAUUGCAUUUGAUUCUCUAAGGAUGUAGCUGACUGAUAUCUCAGUGCCUCAAUAACUUAACAACUGAGUGGCCGCUAAGUAAUAACCAGCCAUGGUGAUAUGUCUGCACUUGUAUUCUCCAUUUAAUUGAUUAAUUACCAAUUCUAAAUCACCAAACACCUCAACUUCAGUUGCCCCCAACUCUAUUAAGAUUUCCAGGCUGAUUAUCAAUGCCUCAUACUUUGCCCGAUUGUUUGUAGUCUUCUGAUAAUCAAGGAGGAAUGAGUAACAAUGUCGAACCCCGUUGGGAUCAGUAAUAACCAUCCCAACUCCAGCAGCAUUUUGGGUACAAGAUCCAUCAAAAUAGAACCUUCAUGGAGUGAUCCAAGGGCUGGAUAUCCUCUUUACCUCCUGCUGAAUCCAUUCUUCCCUACCCGAGAGAGCCUUGCUUGGUGGGAUCCAAAGGUUAGCCACCUUUAGAGUUCCAGGGAUGUUGAUAAGCUCAUCUUCUGCCUCUUGAUGCUCGGCUAAGAAAUUCGUUAUUGCUUGCCUCUUUAUUACCUUUUAUGAUACGUACUAAAAACUGAACUCUGAUAGUGCUAGAAUCCACUUUCUAAUUCUCCAUGUCAACAUUGGUUUUAACAGCAUAUAUUUGAUCUUGUCAGUCUUGGCAAUAAUGUGGAUGUGGUAAGGUAACAUGUAAUGUCUUAGCUUACAAGCAGUAAAGUACAGAGCCAAAACAUAAUUUUUCCACUUGAGUAUAUCUUGUCUUUACCUCAGUAAGGAUUCUAUUGAGGUAGUAUAGCUUGUUCCUUCCCGCCUUCAUUAUUUUGGGCCAGCAAGCUUCCAAUUGAUUUCUCAGAGGUUGAAACAUAAAGCUUUAAAGGCUUCCUUCUCUGUGGUGGCAUGAGCACUGGUGGAGAGGCUAAGUAAGUCUUUAUGUUGUCGAAUGCUUCUUGGUGUGGUGGGCCCCAUUCAAACUCGUCUUUGUCUUUCAAUAUCAGCAAAGGAGUUAGUAGUUGAAUCUUGCCUGCCAAGUUAGCAAUGAAUCUCCUCAAGAAGUUGAUUUUUCCCAGUAGCCUUUGCAGUUAUACUUUAUUAGUGGGAGGAGGUGAUUCCAUUAUUGCUCGAGCUUUGUACUAGUCGACCUCUACCCCUCUUUAAUGAACAAGGAAUCCUAAAAAGUUGCCCGACCUUUCCCCAAAAGCACACUUCUUUGGAUUCAUUUUUAACUUAUGGAUCAUCAUUCUUGUUAAGGCUUAUCUGAGGUCUAUUAGAUGUUGCUCUUCAAUUUUAGACUUCACCACGAUGUCAUCAAUAUAUACCUCCAUGUUAUGGCCAAUUAAGUCAUGAAAAAUGGCGUCCAUUACUCUUUGAUAGGUUGCACCGGUAUUUUUGAGCCCGAAUGGCAUUACCAAGUAUGCAUAUGCUCUGACAUGACUCGGGCACCUAAAAGCUGUUUUAUGUAUUAUGUAUAUCUUCUUUAGCCAUUUUUAUCUGAUUGUAUCCAACAUUCCCAUCCAUGAAAGAUAGAACUUUGUGUUUGGCAACUGCAUCUAUGGAUAGGUUAACCAUGGGCAUAAGGUAUUCAUCUUUAGGCGUGGCUCCAUUAAUGUUUCUAUAGUCAACACAACAUCUAACUGCAUUAGUUAUAGCUUUUAAUAUAGGUACAAUGUUGGCCAACCACUCAACAUAUUUGGCAGGCCUUAUAAAUCCAGCCUUCACCAGCCUCUUGAUCUCUUCUUUAACCUUUUCUUCGAUCUCUUUUGACAUUAUUCGUGGUGCUUGCUUGACAGGUUUAAACCCCUCCUUAAUGGGCAUCCUAUGUUCUACUAAGGUUGGAUCUAAACCUGGCAUUUCGUUGUAGUGCCAAGCAAAACAAUCUUUAUAUUCAUGUAGAAAGCUGACAAUCCUUGCCCGAUCUUCAGUUUCCAACAAACCACUGUUCUAUAUAAGUCUCAGAUCCUCUUCAACUCCCAAAUCAAUGGUCUCCAAGGGGUCUUGUACUUCUGGGGGUGGUUUGUUAGGCUCUGCACACAAAAAUUUAACCAACUCUGGACUCUCGAGCAAAUCCUCUGGCCCAUCCAGGUCAUAUAUACAUUCAACCAUCUGGAUGGCUGCUUCUAACUUCUUCCAAAAAAAUUCUUCUUUACUCAUCUGGCUGCUUGAAGCCUCUUUAUUCCAAUCUUUUUCUUCUUUGGCUAAAUUCUCCUUCUCUUCUUUCUCUCUCUCCCAUACACCAACAGUCUUUUUAUUAAGUACCUGACUGCAACCACUUGGUCCUUCCUUUUCUGUUCUGACAUUACUGGUGUCGGGGAGUUGGCAUUAUAUAAGGCCGAUCCCAUUCUUCCCUUGUAAGAGAUAACCCCUGCUCUAAAAGCUUUUGGGUCAUCACUUUGGUCAUGUGGCUGUUCUUAUUAGCUCUUGAACAUUGAAGGAUCCUAACAUUGGAUUGUAGAAGUUGGCUUCUGCAACGUUAGCUGUAGGGAGGAAUGGUCGUGAUUCAGCCUCCACCAUCUUCCAGAAUCUAGGCCCUGUUUCCCCUUCUUCAUGGUAAACCGUCACUUGUUGGUGUAAGGUAAAUGGCACAUAGAGACUCUAAUGAUUCCAAUCUCUACCCAGUAAAACUCCAUAAGUGGAAGUACUAUCUAUAACAAAAAAGGCCAGCAUGAUUUGUUUAAAACCCAAGUCAACUUCUAAUGGCAGUAUCCCAUGAGUCCUAGUGAUGGCUCCCGAGAAACUGAAAACUAUAAGAUCUGUGGGGAUGAGAUCCUCCUCACUUCUUCACACUCUCUUUAUCUGCUUGUAUGUGAUGUGAAAAUUAACUUAACACACAAAUUUAAGCCUCUUUUGACAACUGUAGUAUAAGUAUAAGUAGGGAUCAUUCUGGACCGGAGAUUAGGAGGGCUUGCUAAUAACCUCUAAACUGACUCAAAAACAUAAAACUAAACUUAAAAAUACUUAACAAGACUCACAAGACUCAAAGCAAACUUAAAUACUCAAAACAGCUUAAAACAACUAAAUAAACUUAAACUAGACACUAGGAAUGACUUUGGACGAAAAUUGACUUUUACUUGAAUCAAAACAUUUAAAAACACAAAUUAAAACAGAUUCUAACUAAUUAGACACACUAAAGUAAAGGGGGAUUGAGUUUUGGAUGAACUUGAAAUAAACAAACAAGUAUGAAAAACUAGACAGAUUGUAAAACAAAUUUGAGAAAUAAGAUGAUGGAUGGGAUAGCUAGAGGCUUUUUCUCCACACAUGACAUGUAUGCAAAUAACUCGAUUUCCAGUUACUACUUCAUUGAAUUAUGAACGACAAUGCUCCAAAUUAACCGUGACAUCACUAGUUAACUCUUAGAUUUUCCUUGUUUUAUUGGAUUGGAUGACAUUAUUCGACAACCCAAAACAUUCUUCUAAAGUUCCCUACAUGACAUCAUAAUAGAGAUACAAUCAAAGAUCAUUACGUUUAAUGAAAAUCAUAAGCAUUGACAAAGCACUUGCAACUAUGAUAUCAUGUCACUCAUGCUAGGAAUUGAACUUAACGCGAUCGUUUAUAAGCGACCUUCACUACAUGUGAAUAUAAGUUUGUAACGAUUAUGUGAAACUUCCUUAUAUUCUAUCAAUGGAUUUAUGUAUGCCAAUUAAGUGUUGACCUUUAAUUAACAAAUACAAAUAAGUUAUCAAUCAAAUAGUUAAGCCAAUUGCAUUCACGAUUCAAGAGUUCAUAACUGGAAUUUAUCAAAUUAUAUUGCACACAUAAUCAUGGCUUUGAAAUCACCCCUAGCCAAGAGGGGUUUAGCCACUCAUAUUUACAACAAAAUGAAAGGAAAUGAAUUUAAACAUUAGAAACAAAAGAAAGAAAACACCUAAACGCUCCAACGAUCCAAGUUGGACAGCAAGCACGUCCAAGCACUUUCCUUCCCUUCCUUUGCUACGGCACAAGGUGUUGGUGAGUGUUUGAAGGUUUGUUUGGAUGGAGGAAUGGAUGUGAAGAUGAAUGGAUGUGUUUGGAUGAAGGUUGUGUUGAAAUGGGAGUGAAUGAUCUAAUAAAGUAUCCACUAAAUUUAUGUUACACACAUUUCCUUUUAUAAAGGAAGUGCAUGGCAAUGGAGGGGAACAUGAAGUGGUGUAGCAAUUGAGUGCAAUGAGUGGUGUUUAAAAUGAUUUAAAGGUGAAAGUGAAGUGAUGAUGCAAAGCAUGGGGGUAAAAUGGAGUGGUGUUGCAAUUGAAUGCAAUGAUUCAAUGUAAUGAUGCAUGAAAUCUGAAAUGAUGGAGAGAACAAGGAAUGGUGUAGCAAUUGAGUGCAAUGAUGGUGCACGACAAUGAUGGAAAGGUGAAUGGUGGAGUGACACCCCUUUGUGGCUGAGCUCUUUGUCCUUUUUACAUUAAUUCUUCUUUCUCUUUAACACAUUCCUAGCCUCUUUAGUCUUCAAUUUCGUCCAUCCACCUUGCUCCAUGCAUGUGUUAUUCAUUCCAAGCCCAAAACUGCUCCAAAUUGCACCAAAAUGCAUCUUAUUGCUUCAUAAGGCCUAUGGACCUACAAACACACGAAAAUAGCUUAAAAUACAUAAUUAACUAAGAAAUAACAACAUAAAUGCAUGAGAACAAGUUAACUCAGUCGCAUAAAUAUGCUCUAUCAAUAUGGCAGCACAUUGAUUGCAGCUCCUCAAUCAAUCAAGACCCUCUUGAAAGGUACUCCCUCCAGAUGAGCAAUUAUAUAUAUGGACUUGAGAUGGUUAGCCAGGGCCAAAUUUGGGUGACUGAAGAUCAUCAUGUCUGUAUAUACCCUCUCGGGCUCCUUCCUUGCCAAUUCGGGCAUAUCCAUCCUGCUUGAUUCUCUUUUCCCUGCUUCCUCAACACUAACAUGUGUCAUUAGGGGUUAUGUUGCCAAGUAGUCACCUUCCAUUGUGGCAGGUUGAUCAUGCUUGGGACAAAACAUGGUGGAAAAAAAUAUGUCAUGUUUACAUGGAAGUUGUUGGGUUCAAGUAACUCUUUUUCCUUGGCUCGGAUAUGCUCUGCAAACUCAUCCAACCAGUCAUGUGCUUCUUUUGGUAUCACUAGUUCAGGAAACCUCCCUCAUGAGUUAUGCCAAAAUUUUGUACUCGAUCCAUAUCUUCACAAAGAGUAUCAACCAGCAAUGGUGAGGGUAUCCCCUUCUCGGUUGAGAUAGUUCCAAAACAGAUUGGCUCCGGGCUCCACCCCGGGGCUGGUAUCAUCAUCAUAUCCUCUUAAGCUCUUCUCAGAAUCCUAUAUUUCCUAGGAUGAGGAUUUUGUGGUACGUGAUCUCCUUCCCUCUCGGUCUUGCUGUUAGCUUUCUUCACCUAUUUUUUACUCCUCCAACGAAGUUGGUUUCUUCCUCCGUGAGGUACAUCUUCAAACUUCACAUUCUCCGAGGUUUUUGAAGCAGUGGGGACUUUCAAUGAGUUCAUAUGGGCCUUAUGUUACCUUUGGACCCUUCUGAUCAUAAAGGCUCCCAUUUCUUUGACCAGUCUCCCAUCCUUUUCGACCAUAUACCAUUUUCACCCGAGUUAGGUAGGUUUCUUCUUCGUGAUCGGGUCACCGUCCUCCCUUUCAUUCUGAUAUCUCCACCGGCAUAACUCGGCUAGGGUAGCCUCACAUCUACCAUCUUGGUACACUGGCCUCUCUAUCUUUCACCUCUUCAGAAACUUCGUAAUUUCUAAACACUCCUAACCUUUGGAAGAGAUUCCUUGAGGUCUCUUUUCAACUGCGUGCAAGAUAUUUCAACAGGCUUCUUGCUUAUCUCUCUCUUCCCUUGAUCAAUUCCUGAUCAAUGAUAGCUCCCGAUGUUGGCAUUUCCAACUCACACUCAUUGGCAUUUACUACACAAAACCAUUCCCUUGAUUAUGGCUGCUUUGGGCUUCUCGAACAGCUUGAGAGCUCCAUCUAUGGGUCUUUCAUUCUACCUCAUCUCCACCUUUACUUCCCAUAUGGCCUUUCUUUUCCCUUUCUGUGCCAACGUUAGGUUGAUCAUGUUUAUUGGGGCUUCUGGAAAAUGAUUAAUAUCAAUCAUCAUAUUAGCCUGUGGUUUUUCUAGCAACAACUUUCCUUUGACAAUAAAAUCUUGUAUCCAGUUUAUAAACUGGACACAGUUGGUAAUAAAGUGGUUGAAGGUGUAGUGCAGCUUGCAAUACUUCUUUCCCUUCAAUUCAUCGGGCUUAGGCAGCUUUUUGAUGUUAUUGGGCACAAUCACUCUUGCCCGCACCAAUUCCUCAUAGAUUUAUGCUGCCUUGGUUAGAUCAAAAGAGUAUCUCUGAUACUUUGAGGGUUUCAUUAGUACAAAUCCAUCAUCAUUCAUGACCAACUUCCGGUCUUUAAUCGGCUGGACCAAUCCCUCUGCUGCACACAUAUCAAUUCCAUUUCUUCCACAACCAUCAUUCUCUUCUAGCAUCAUCCCCGUCGAACUCUAUUUGAUGAAUGACAACCCUGUUUUUGUAUAAUAGAGGUACUUUGGAGGAAUACUUUGCUUGUUGUUCCUCGAUCAACAAUUUUUCAUAUUUGGUGGUAGCAAUCACCAGUUCUUACAACUCAUUAAACUGCACAUCAUAAAACUUCUUCCUUAAGGGCAGCCUCAAUGCCUUCUGAGCAAUAGCUAUAAGUUGGACAUGGUUGAUAGGAAACUGACAUCUCAUCCAUACUUCCUAAACCUCAUCAUGAAGUCCUUAGUAGACUCAUGCUCAUAUUGCUUCACCUCAACCAGAUCAUUAAUGGUCAUCUCUGACUCCAUCUUGUAAAACUACUCGUGGAAAGCCAUUUCCAUUUGCCCUUAGUUAGCAAUAGAAUUUGGGGGCAAAAAAAAAUACCAUUGAGAUGCUAACCUUGUCAAUGAGUUCCCAAACAACCUUAACUUAUAAUUAGGAUUGUCAUCAAAUGCCACACAAUGGUUUGAGAACUUAAAGAUGUGAUCCCUGGAUGACACAUUGUUAUAUUCUCCGUUGAAUGUUGGGAAUGUGGGCAUAUUGAAGUUAAGAGGAAAUGGAUUCUACUCAUCAAUGAACUUCGGGUAAGGCUUCUAAUAGGUGACCCUAAACAGCGGGCGAGCUUGUGGCUGAGCAUUUCUUACCACCAUCCUUCUUAACUCAGCCAACUCAUCUCAGAGUUGCUGAUUGGUUGCGUUGUUAUGUGAGGUGUAAGAAGCUUCCCACUUUGGGCUAUGAUCAUUGCCCGAUGAGGUUUCCUUCCUUGACUCGGGCUGCCUCCACUUGACAUCCCUUCAUUUAUUAGUCAUUAAUGGUGGCCUGUAAGGAGGAGGUUUGUCUGUAGUUGUGUGCUCUCCAUUCCCACUGCAUUCUUUAAUUGGCUGAGGCAUUCCAUACCUCAUUAUUUCUGGCCCACACUGCCCUCUACUAUCCAAGGAAAAUAAUAAGGGGUCAGGCAACUCUGGUUAUCUGAUUCCUCCAACACUGACUGAUCUACUCCAAAUUCUUCCUUGUUCUUCCCCUUGUUCCUAUUUUCCUCAAGCACAGGAAAAAGAGGAAUAACUGGCUCCUUCACAGGUCUGGCUUCUCUCAUCAUCUUUUUAGUACGAUUAUUUUCUGGGGUAUAGUAUUCCAGAUCUAGCCUUCUUUGCAGAUUCCCUGUUAGGAAACAGAGUCUGCAUACUUCCCCUUUAGUUUCUAGAAAGAUUUUCUCUAUACUUCUUAACACAGCUACCAUGGUGGCCUGUAGAUCUUCAUUUGUCACAUUUCCUUCUAAUUUCUCUGAAAGAGUUGGGCUUUCCGUCUUAACAGGUCCGUGUAGAUCAUCGGGGAGAUUUGCCAUGUAUGAUCUUGGGAUACACUUGGGUGGUUUCUGUUCUAUUUCCUACAUGAAGGUUUGCUCUUUUCUUCAUUUUCUUGGCAUACAAGAUUUGUGGUCCCAUCGAGCGUGCUAAAACUAUGUUCGUGCAUGAAUUUUUAUGAAGAAGGUCCCUAGCUCGAGCACACAACUCCCCGAUGAGUUGACACUUUGGUUAGUUGUCAGGCUCCUACUUGUCAAAAGGUUGUAAGAGGAGGAUAUAGUUAGUUUUAAAAGGUGCAUUUGUGGGGCCUUAGGUGUAGGCCUUGAGCCUCGCAAUCAAAACUAACUACAUGCUAAAGUGUGCCACUGCCAUCUCAAUAUGGCAGAUGUAAAACAAGUGUGUUUAAGUCAAUUACUUGCACCCCAAGUUAUUCUGACUUCUUGUUAUCAAAGGAUUGUCGUAAAUGGGUUAAGUUUACAUUAAAUUCUUUUCUGUGCCUUGAGAUCAAGGACUUUUAGUUCAUUAUCUUGCAUGCUUAAAAGCGUCGAAGUCCAGAUCUGACUAAGUCAUAGAUGAGUUAUGUCUACAUUAAGUUAUUUUAUGUGCCUUGAGAUUAAGGACUUUUAGUUCAUUAUCUUGCAUGCUUAAAAGGGUGGAAGUCUAGAUCUGACUAAGUCAUUGUUUUAAUCCCCAUUUGGUUUUUUAUGACAGUAAAAACCACUAAGUGAACCGGAUCUGAGAACCAAUGGAACUUUUGAUCAACAAAUGACUGGAAUUAACUUGAAUAUGUAUUGAAGAAUACAUCAUAAUACCAGAUCUACUAAUUGAAAGCUAAGACAAAGAGAGUCGGGCAAGAUUUCACCUUGUCAGGCAAGGUUUAACGUCUUGCAGUCUCUUUUCUUUGUGGUUACAGAAGGUGGUGUGUUAAAAAUGAUGGAUGGUGAACACGUUUACACCAGAGAAUCGAUACUACAACAUCUAGAGAAGGUAUCAGAGCUUUUACACUGGACAAAAGAUGCCUUUCUAAGGGAACUAUUGGCUAAAAAGGUUUGAAAUGUACGAACUGGCUUGAGAGCAAUGUUUGUAUGCUUGUUUGUUUGAUUGGUUGAGUGUCCUUGCCUCUAGGCCCUGUUUUCCCUUUCAUAGGCAUUUCGUCUUGGCUAUUGCAGGCUUUGCCUGAAAGUACUUUAGUGAGUCAUCAUUCUUUUUACAUGUUCUGCCACUAGAAAGUGCUUUUGGGCUAAGAGUGGGUUGAUUUCCAUCGGCUCCCACUUCCAUUGUAAGCUCAUAGCUUUUGCAUUAAUAAGGAGCCAUCAUAUUGUCUUGAGGUGGAUGGCUGGGCUUGGUGCUGGGCCUCGGGCAAGCCUCCUCAUUUUAGUUCUUUUGGGUUUUCCUUCCUUUAAGUCCAAAGUUCAAAUAUUAACCAAAACAAAAAUAGUCUCACGUUGGUGAAAGGAGAAACCUUGCAAGAGAUUAUAAGAGGUUGGGCUACUCCUUAUAUUUCUAAUUGGUUCUAUAUUGGAACCUUAACUUUCUUCAUGGUAUCAGAGCAGAUUGUCUCAUGUAUGAAGUCUAACGGCAACAUGUGCUCCACAUUACCUUAUUUGUGUUGUCCACAUGUUAGACUUGAAAAUUCACCACACGAGAUGAGGCAUGUUCAUCAAUCCAAGAGCUUCGAGCAUAGGAGAAAGAUCAAUCCAUGUCAUUCAAGUGAGUUGUUCAUAUUUCUAUCUCUAUAAACAAACAUGGAUAUAAAUCGUAAAAGAAUUAUUAUUGACCAGAGAUGGAUUGUUACCUAGAAAUUCAAGAUUAAACCAUCUCAUUAGUUCAUCAACAGGGAUUGAUUAAUUCUUAUGGCAGGUCACAUACCUGAACACUUAUGGCAAGUCUUCUGGCUUAGUAGGAUCAGGAGCCACAUAACACAUAAAAGUCUUUCUCCAAUAAGUCGCGGAUGCACUGUAAAGAUUAGAUUUUCUAUUGUAGACCACAAGUUAAAGGGAUCAGAGUAUCAAGCUCAUUCUUCACAUGAGUGUCUAGCUCAAAAAACCCACGUACCCCAUCCUUAAUCUCCUCAGAACAUGAACAGGUAUUCCAUGAUUGACAAUAUGAAAAAGCCCCAAGCCUCUGAGGCCUCUCCGAGGUCGUUUAGACCCCACAAAUUGUGUUUUAAAGUUUGGGAAAAAUUUUGAACAUUUUGUUUUUCGUUGGAUUCACUUUUAUUGUACUCUCUAAAAGACGCUAGACGUUAGUUGGGGCCUAGCGCCUAGGCGAACUUACUUAUAUAAUAAAUUUGGGAAAAAUAAUAAGAAAAAUACAUGAAUAAAUACUUAAGGGUGUGCUAUUCACACAUCUCUUAUUAAUUUACAUAAUUUGAUAUUCUUCAAUUCAUUCGAUGCGCGGCUGAAAAUUAAUAGAACGUGUGAGAAAUAAAAAAAAUGUGUAGAUAACACACCCAAAUAUUUAUUGUAAAUAUGAAUAGUAGCCAGCACAAACAUCAAUUGGGCAAUCUAUUCUUAGGAAAAGACCUGGGAUUGAUUUAAAAAAAUAUAUCAAAUGACAUUUAAUUAAAAAAAAAAACCUAACCACAAACAUUAGCUGGCACUUUCACCCACCCCACUUUUUUUCUCUCAAAACCACGAUGGCAAUGUCUUCCCUCACUUUCUGCAACUUAUCCCAUUCUCCUAUCUCACUCUCUGAUGAACCCACCUUCACUCCCAUCCUCUUCUUCUCAGCCAGUGAGGUAUGUGCAGAACCCAGAACCCACCUUUUGUAGAACCAGGCUAUCAAAAAUUGCAAAGACGAGUUUCGGAUAAUGAACGGCUGGUGAUGCAGAUGCCAGCAAAUGAUGAAUCGGAAAUUGCAUAAUCCGCCUAAAUUACUGCCUAGAGCAUAUAAGACCACCUAGAGAGCUUAAACAACCGCCUAUUUCCUCCUCGCCUUUGUGAAUGUCCUGACUGAAAUCUGCAGCAGAGCUCUGCCACCCAGCAUCUAGACAGCUGCCUAAGGAGAUUUUUAGAACACUGACUACAUCUCAAGGGUAGAGCUAAGUCUACUAAAGCCUUAUGGUGCCAAAUGUGUAAAGUAAGUGUGCAUAUUGGCCAAAAGAAAACGUGAGGCUUCAAACCACAAGUCUUUGAACCAUAUUUCAAGGCUCACACUCGUGUUCUUCAUCAAGCUCGUGAAGAGACAACAAAUACAUGUGCUGGUUCAUCCACAUUAAAGCUGAAGACUACCCACCACAUAAAACUCCUCGUGGUUCCAUUUCAUUCAAGAUCAAGUCUCGACGGCAUUUGAAGAAAUCACAAGUCUGAUUCAUGAUCAAGUGUCGCCCACCCUUGAAUCAAACUCUAAGGAAAUGAAGUAAAUACACACCUUUGAAGGAAACCAGAAAGCUCUCUGGCCAAUCCAAACACCAAACACUCGUGUUCAUCAUCAAGCUCGUGGAGAACAAGCGCAACAAAUACGUGUUUAUUCAGUGGAGAAGAAGCGCAACAAAUAUGCGCUUAUUCAUCUACCACCAAAGCUGAAGAUCACCCACCAUGUGAAACUGGUCAUGGUCCCAUUUUGUCCAAUACCAAGCCUCUACUACCCUUGAUGAAACUUCAACUUGAUUCAUGAUCAAGUGUUCACCGCCCUUGAAUUAUGUUUCAUGUUGAAGGAUUUCAAAAUGCACCCUAUACACAUGACAAGUACAUAUGUACACCACGCCUUGAAAUCUUGAAAUUUCGGUGAAGUAAAUGUUGACCAACAUAUUAAAAUCUCAACAUGUCACAACUUACGUCAUAUGCACCAUGUGUCUCUUAGGUUGUACACAUGGCGCGUGACUCAUUAAAACUGAAUGAAUCAUCAAGAGUGACACGUGUCGACAUUUGACAAAAAUUAAUUAAGGAAUUGUCUUUAUUAAUUCUUUAAUUAAUUUUAAUUUACAUCAAACAAAUUAAUUGAUUUAAAAUGCCAAAUACAUGAUGGCCAAUCAAAGAUGAAAUGUGAUUAAUUAUUUGAUAGCACGGGCUUGGCUUGGAGAAAAGGAAGAAGAAGAGAAAGUUCGGAGAAAAGGAAGAAGAUAGAAGGUGUAGGACAAAUGACUUUUUUGCCCUUUAAGGUAAUCAUACGGACAGCACGUGACCUCUUAAUGGAAGAAUAGAUGAAAAAUUAAAAAUUGGCCAAAUCGGAUAAAUAGUCCUCGUGGUCCUAAGAUAUUUGGAUGAUAGACCUUGUGGUAAAAAAAUUCGGAUUUAAACUCUCGUGAUAAAGUCUAUUCGGAUUUAUGCCCUAAAACUUAACUUUCGUCCAGCCUGCACGUGAGGGAUCCAAAAGUAGAUUGCAUGCAAUAGCUGGGAUCCCGCAAUCGCCGACCUCCAACCUCCGACCUCUCUCUCUCUGCCAUGGCUAACACCGCAAUCACCGAAAUGCCCAACGGAAGCCAAGGACCAGCAGAAGGGCACUCAAGGAUAAAAACCCAUCUGGAAAUGCAACCAAUGUCCUCACAGGAAAGGUCUCGGACGCCACUCCAAGCCCGAUCCAAACACCAUCGGACAUCAAUCCAACAAAGGAGAACCACGCGAGCCUUUCUCAGACUCGCAUCUCCCCCAAAAGGCAGCCAAAGCUGCGACUUCUAAGAAACAUGCCAAGCAGAAGAAGACCCAACCGUCGUCCUUUGAGAAAGAACUCAAAGAAAUGCAAGAGAAGCUGCAAGCAAUGAAGCUCGAGAAGGAGAAAACCUUGGAGCUUCUGAAGGAAAAGGAUGAGAUCUUGAAGACCAAGGAGGAAGAUCUCGCAAUGAAGGGCUAAGAGCAAGACAAGCUUCAGAUGGAGUUAAAGAUGCUGCAGAAGCUCAAGGAGUUCAAACCCAUCAUGGUCUGAUUUCUCGAUCCCCUUUCUUUUCUUCAUUUGCGUCCGUAUUUCUUCAUGUGUUGCAUUAUCCUCUGUUUGGAUGCUGAGAAAAUAUAUUAUGGAUUUGAAGUUUGGUUGGGUGAUUCUUAAUUUUGGGUUCUUAAAUUUGUUUGGUUACUUGUUAAUUGUAAAAAAAAAAUGGAAAAAAAAACCCAUGAGGGUUAUUGAUUUAUAUGUUCUUAGGGUUUAUGUUCUUGAUCCCCUUUCUAGAAUUUGUUUUGUUGCAUUGGGAUCUGGCUAAUUGUUUGGAUAUUUAAUCUAAUGAUUCUUGAUUAGGAUUUAGGGUUCACAUGAAAUUUUGGCUUGAUGAUUCUUGAUUUGUGAUUUUUAUGCCAUUUGGUUACUGGAAAAUUGCCCAAAAAGCUUGUUUAGGAUUCGUAAUUUUGGGAUCCCAACUAUUGCAUACAAUCUACUUUUGGGAUCCCUCACGUGCAGGCUAACAAAAAAGGACGAAAGUUAAGUUUUGGGGCAUAAAUUUGAAUAGACUUUACCAUGAGGGUUUAAAUCCGAAUUUUUUUACCACAGGGUCUAUCAUCUGAAUACCUUAGGACCACGAGGACUAUUUAUCCGAUUUGGCCUUAAAAAUUUAACAGUAUGGUGCAAAUUGAUUAAUUAUGAGAGUUAGGGGGGAAUUGGCCAAAAUUAAAGUUGAGGGGGGAAAUUGAACAAUUCUUACAAGUUUAGGGGUAAAUUGAUGAAUACCUCUUUCCUUUUGUAAAUUUUUUAACAGUAACUACAUGAAAAGUACAAAACCAAAGUUUUUUUUUUCCUAAAUAUGUUAACAUGGCCAAAACAAAGUGGUGUUUUUUUUAAUCAAUAAAACCAUUAAUUAUUUGGAAAUUUGGAAAUAUAGCCAUUUUAAAGAUCACUUAUUGAAAUAUAACCUGGUUAUUUUAUUUCUUAUAAAAUUAACCAAAGUUAGAAGACUUAAUUACCCUUGGACUAAAACUCUCUUCCUCCUAACAUUGUAUUUUUUUUUACUGAAAAUAUGACUUUUAGCCCUUGAAACUCAAGUUUCUUUACAUAAAACCCGACAUAGUCUUUUUACCUGAAUAAAACCCAAUGACUAGGCUCCACAUAAGCAAAGUCAUUAAUUAUAUUUGCCUUUACACAUUUCGCAUUUUUUAGAUGCCUAAAACACCCCUAAUUAAAGUUUUAAUGUAUACAUUAAAUUCUAUGCAUAUUUGAAGGGAGGGAUUAAUGAAAAAAAUGCAUUAAUGUUUAAAAUCAUUGCAUAUUAAUAUAUCAUAACAAAUUGUAUGUUAAUGCUUCUUGGAACAAACAAAAAAAGCACUAAUGUUAUACUUUCCUUAAGAUUUUGUAAUUGUUUUUCAAAUUUGAAAUUUGACAGUUUUAAUUUGAUCUUGUCAUUUUCUUACCCAAAUGAAAAUCCAAAAGGGCACUAUAAAAUUUGUCCAGUAAUAAUACAUGCAAAAUAAUUUACUUAUAAAAUUAAAGAAAUGUUAUUUGAUUCAAAAGAAAUUUAUCUAUAUUUUAUAAUAAUAUAGGUGAAUCAUUGCACAUAUAUAUAUUAGGAAUAAAAUGUGCCCAAUAUAUAUAUAUAUAUAUAUAUAAUAAUAAUGCAUACAAAUAAUUCACCUACAAAUAAAGGAAAUUUGGUUAAAAAUAAUAUAUCUACUACUUUCAAUUUUCCUUUUUUUUUUUACAAACAUAAUGUACCUACAAUAUAAUUUACCUAUUGUUUAAUCAAAUAAAAAAAACAAGGUAUCUAUUGUUUCAUUUUAAUGGUGAUAAUUUGUCUUGGUUUAGUUUUUACGAAAUAAUUUAGGCACUGUUUAACUUGACCAAAAUAAUGUAACUACUAUUUUAAUUUACCUACAAAAUAAAUGCUAUUUGAUUCAAAAUUAAUUUACUUAUAUUUUACAUAUAAAUAUAGAUAAAUUAUUUUUAACAUGCAUAUACAAUAACAAAUAAAAAAUGUCUAAUCUAUGUAAAAUAAUUUACCUACAACAUAAAGAACAUUAAUUGGUUUUUUUUAUCAAACAAUAUUAUUUGAUGCAAAAUAACUGAUUAUACAAAAUUUUCAUAUGAAAAAAUGUGCCCAUAAUUGUUUAUGAAUAUGGAUAAAUUAUUGUAUAUAUAUACAUGUUACUAAUAUUUAUGAUACACGAAAGGUAAAUUUCCCUAUGGGGUUAAUUGCUAAUCAUAAUUAGGGUGAGUAAUAAUAUUUAUUGACAUAAUUAGGGUUUUGUGGCAUAAGUUGUAAAUAUUUAUUUGUCUACAUGGUAGUCUAUUUGAAUUUUGGGUUUUAUUUGAAUAUUUAUUUUUGGGUGGGUUUUUGUUUGGAAAAUAGGAGUUUCAAGGGCCUUUCUCUAAAGAACCCCUUUUUUUAAAUUUGAACUUCAUCCAGGGUACAUCAACCCCUUGAUCCAAACGAAUGCCACUUUUUUCUUCUCACAAACCAUGCAGUUAAUGCCUUAACUUCACGAUUGCUACCCGAGCGGUAGGUGGAUCAUUGGGUUCUAGUGGAUAUCCGCAACCGGCCAAUCUUUAGCACGCGCCUCCUUGCAGCUUUACAGGUUUGUGACCUCUUUCUCUCAUCCAUUUAUACGAAAAUCAAGGAUAAACUGUUAAUUAUGGCAAUGUGGCUUUGUCUGCAGGCUAUGCAUAAAUUGUUGGAAAUUAAAUAUUAUAAUAUGAAAUAUUAUAAUAUAUAAUUUUAAUAAUUGAAUGAAAAAUAAUGUUAACCAAUUUCUUAGAAAGGUUAUGUUGUUUAGGUGUAUUCUCUUGAUAAGUGAUGUAUACUUAUAGAUGAAAAGUUACAUCUCUUUGAUAAGUAGAAGUUGGAUUCUAUAUAAACCCAUGAAACCAUUUGUAUUACAUAUAGAAAAUUAGAGUAAAUUUUUACUAUUGAGAAAUAGGGUUUCCCCACUUUGUUUCUCUCAUGUUUCGUGUGUCAAAUUCCGAGUUAUGUCUUGAGAGUACGGAAUAUAUAAAGUUCGCCAGAGUCCGAAGAUUGAAGUGCUUUGACUUCGGAUUAUAGAUUGUUAAAUCCUGGGAGAUGGACGCCUACCGAACUAUAAGCACAAGAGUAGGGGCGAAAUUCUAUCUUUAGGACAUUGAAUUUAUGCAAGCCUCAAUCUCCAAGUUUGUCAGUUAUUCUAACCUUGUCUCUAAUUGUUUAUAUUAAUCUCAUAUAUAAUUGAUGUUGUGAAUUUCUUUAUGAUUAUUAUCACUGAAAUUCUUGUGUUAUUUUCAUAUUUUCUAAUAUUGCUCCAAUAAUCUAAAGAUAGAAAUUUAUAUAUUUUUGCAAUAAUUAGAAAAUAUGACAAUUCUCAUAAAGCAGCGGCUAGAUAUUGGAAAUAGAAUAUGUUGUGUUUGACAUAAACCCUAGCCCUCUUUAAGAAGGAAGAUCGCUACAUCUAAUGAUGAAACUGAGGCAUGAAUCUUCCCAAUUUCAAUAGAAAGAUUUAAUUUGAUCAUUGGGCUAGAUGAUGGGUUGUAGAUUGUAUAUAUAGUAUACAAAACAACAAAAGAUCGUUCUGGGAAUUAUUGAUGAUAAAUAUCAUACUGCAAUACUUGAAUUAGAAUAAGUCUGGUGAAUUUGGUAGUUAGAAUCUUUGAUGUCGUAAGGUACAAUGAUACAUUACAAAAUUAAUUAGGGCGUUGAACUGCAUUUGGUUUAUGUAUAUAUUCAUCAUGUAUAUGCAUGGACAAUACUGUUUGAAUGAUGCUUUAAUAUAGUAGUUCCUUUUUCAUUUUGUGCAUGCACUAUCUUCCGGAAAAAUUACAUGGUUAUAAGCCUCAUACGUGCAACGCUAAGAAAACUGAAAUGGGAUGAGAAUGACGUAAUUAUUUAUUUAUUUAUUUUUACAUUAAUAGUUGUGGCAUUUAAACUAGUGUCUAGACACUGACAGACAUGGACAUUUAGAUGCAUGCCUUGAUUUGGUUGCUGCAUUCAUAUGUGAAGAUUCCUGGGAUUGGUUCAUUGGUUGUUCUAUAAAAUAUAUGUGGCAUAUGUAGAACCCCGUCACAAUUGAUCAAUUAGAGAUUCCAGAAAAAGAGAACAUCGGUUUGAUAUCCAUUUGAGUCAAGGAUCUUGGAUCAUAUAGAACUAUGUGGAGGUUAAUCUUGGGUCAUUUAGAGCCGUGCGACGGUUAAGUUGCAAAAAGGAUGCAACUAUUUGACAAAUGGGUGGUUUUUAUGAUGUGGUGGAAUUGAAAAUUGGAAUCUGCUAUGUGAGAUCAAAGAAAAAGCAUGACGUUUGAAGUGUUGCUUUUGAUAGUGAAAGGGUAUGACCUUUCCAACCAGUCAUUACCAUUCUUAAAUAUACAUGUGUUCAUGGGCUAGUAUUUUACCUUCUACAUACCGAUUACCAACUGGAUGUAUAUUAUCACACAGUGAUACACUUACUUAUUUGAUUUUUUCGAAGAGAUGAAUAAAUUUCAAAAUGCCCAUAAUGGAUAUCUCAUAUUAGUCAUAUAUGAUGCAGCACAUUCUAGAAGAUAACUUAAGUAAGCAGUGUCUUGCUUCUUUGUCAAGGAGAGUACUGCAUUUUCCAUAUCAAUCAUGGAGAAAAUGAAUAUUAUUGAGUUAUUCAAAAUGUUAUCAAUAUAGAGAAAUAAUCUUGAAAGUGUGAAGGUUUUUCAGAAAGGAAAAGACGACACUGAAAAUGUGAAAGACAUUUCACAUAAUUGAAUUAGACAUAAUGAUGCUUAUUAAGUAAGCAUAUAAAUGGACAUGGCCAUUGGGUCAUACAUGUUAGUCAUAGUAAGGAAAGAAUGAAAGCCAAGAAGUGAUUUUCUCAUAAUUUCUAGUGAGGCUUGAAAGCCUAAAAGAAAAGAUAGAUAAAGUAUAUCUUAGUUGUUCCUUACUUCUUAAAGUGGAAAAUGUGAUCGAUUUAAUGAUAGCAUUAAAAGAAACUACAAUUAUGAAAGAAUUGUGGGGGUUGGAUAAAAGUAAUUUGCUAAUUGAACAACAUUUAAGAUGUCAUCCCCUGUAAUGAGUAAUUGUUUAAGGUAUGGCAAGGUUAGAGACCUUCUUACAACUACCUUAAAUGUGGGGGAGUAUGCCCAAGUAUUAGCAAAUUACUAACUAAAGUCCCAACAUGUACGGUUGAGGACUUGACAUUGUAAAUCAACUACUCUCGUUUGAAAUAUGAUUUCAUAAGAUGGAUUGUAUACACCCAUUAAAGAUAGUCAACCUAAGUGGUACCAAUUAUUAAAGGUUUGACUAUAGAGUAAGUUGAUCAUCGAGGGAAAUGAGGCUAAAGCCAACAUAACUAAUGAAUCAGCCGAGCGGAAACCUAACUUAGUUGAUUGGAGAUCCCAUGGUCUAAGUUCAAUAGGCAAACUGGUUGGGCAUGAUUCAAAGAAGUUAACACACUAUAUACCUCAUUCCUAUGAUGGAAGAAGUGUGUUGUUUGUAGACGUUUUAGGUUGUAUAUUUAUACUUAAUGACAGUGAUAUCUUAUAACUAAGAGAAAUAGAGCAGACUAUUCUUAAUCAGUGGUCACCUAUGUGAGAGUAGAAGUGGGUCGCUUCUAUGAGUAUGAGAUGGCUAAAUUCUCUAAAGCUCUCAUGAAUCCGGGAUUUAUUCAGGACCAAAAUGAACACAACCGUAUGAACCGGAAUAUAUUAGGAUUAGUGAUGUGUGUUGCUUAUUGUCUCAGUUUACUACUGCGGUGAACAGUUCAAGAUUUUAUAUUCACUGCGUCACCAAGUAAAUCCGAUAAGUAUUCACUAGGGUAGGUUCUAGUCCAAAAGACACCUCUCUCGAUGCAUCUCUUGUCCGCCUAUACUCUCAAAUUCUUCCUGAUUUUUCUUUCAUGUGGGGAUUGUUGGAAAUUAUAUAUUAUAAUAUGAAAUAUUAUAAUAUAUAAUUUUAAUAAUUGAAUGAAAAAUAACCAAUUUCUUAGAAAGGUUAUGUUGUUUAGGUGUAUUCUCUUGAUAAAUAAUGUAUACUUAUAGAUGAAAAGUUACAUCUCUUUGAUAAGUAGAAGUUGGAUUCUAUAUAAACCCAUGAAACCAUUGGUAUUACAUAUAGAAAAUUAGAGUUAAUUUUUACUAUUGAGAAAUAGGGUUUCCCCACUUUGUUUCUCUCAUGUUUCGUGUGUUAAAUUCCGAGUCAUGUCUUGAGAGUACGGAAUAUAUAAAGUUCGCCAGAGUCCGAAGAUUGAAGUGCUUUGACUUCGGAUUAUAGAUUGUUGAAUCCUGGGAGAUGGACGCCUACCGAACUAUAAGCACAAGAGUAGGGGCGAAAUUCUAUCUUUAGGACAUUGAAUUUAUGCAAGCCUCAAUCUCCGAGUUUGUCAAUUAUUCUAACCUUGUCUCUAAUUGUUUAUAUUAAUCUCAUAUAUAAUUGAUGUUGUGAAUUUCUAUGAUUAUUAUCACUGAAAUUCUUGUGUUAUUUUCAUAUUUUCUAAUAUUGCUCCAACGUAAAUUUCCUGGGUUUUGAUGUUUUUUGUGUUGCACUGGCAUGUAUCAUUGGCAUCGCAGCUUCUUGCUAUCUUCUGUGCAUUAUUACACUUUUAUAUGUUGUCGCUGAUCAGGUAGUUCUCUUCUCAUGCCCAGUUCCUCUCCCAGACUCAACACAUCUUUUUCCCUCUCACUUCCUCAGUCCCGAAUUCUGCGAUAGCAAACUUUGUUUACCAAAUAUAGAUUAGUCAUUGAACUGAUUCAACCACCCAUCACCUACCAACGCACAACCGUGAAGAAGACGACUAACUUAGCAGAAUGGCGAGCUGUGUAUACUGGAAGGAAAGAGAAGCUCAAUCUCAUGGAAUUUUAUAUAUAUAUAUAGGUUGAAAACGGAAGUCGGAAGGGGAAGAGACGGAGGAAAUGAUAGAUAUCAGACAUAACUGAGAAGCAACUCAAUCAGAAUUCACAGAUGGGAAGAAGAAAGGAAAUGAGAAAGUUUUAGCAUUAGGGUAAUUUAGUCUUUAAACAUCAAUUGUGGUUAGCUUUAUAAGAAUUAAAAAAAGUAGGUCAUAUUUCAAUACGUAUACUUUGAAAUGGCUAUAUUUCCAAAUUGUAUUAGGCAGAGAGUGUAUUUAUUCUCUUGUAUGCUUCUGCAUCGGCCGCCAAUAAGGAAUAUCGAUCUCGAUGAGUUCAAACAAUCUCGAUGAGAUGAAUCAAUCCAUUCUUACACUACAAUUAUUUAUCUAAAAUAUUCUGCCACUAAGCUUCUAAUAUGGAGGAAAAUUAUCAAUCGAUGAGAAAAUUACAGAGAGAACUCCCACUGAGUUCUAAUAUGGAGGAAAGGAAGGGUUUGAGAUUGAUUUUGUUCCCAAUGCCUCUUCAAGGACAUAUAAACCCUAUGCUAGAACUAGCCAACGUUCUACACCACAAAGGCUUCUCCAUAACCAUAAUCCACACCCAAUUCAACUCUCUCAACCCUACAACCCAUCCACACUUCACCUUCCACUCAAUCCCCGUUGAAUUGUCUCGAACCGAGGCCUCCACGAACGAUGUUAUGGCGUUCAUUUUGCUUCUAAACGUGAAGUGUUUUGAACCCUUCAGUGAAUGUUUGGCUAGGUUGCUAUCAGAUGAUGAUCAGGAACCUGUUGCUUGUUUGAUCUCUGACCUUUUGUUUAGUUUCACUCAACACGUUGCUGAGAACCUUAAGCUCGCAAGGAUUUUGUUGAGGACAUCGGCUGCGUCUUCCUUUGUUGCUUAUGCUGCUUUUCCACUUCUGCUGGAAAAGGGUUACCUCCCAAUACAAGGUAACUGUGUGGUUUCUUAUGAGUUUCUUUUCAGAUCCUUUUCAAUCUAGGUAUACAUCCCCCUCUUAUCUUUGUUGAGAGUAUAAAUUCCACAUCCAUUUUGUAUCUAUGCAAACUUCUACUUAUUUCUGACUUUUAUAAAGAUUCUUAAAUUAAAGGAACAACCAAGAAACAAAAAUCAGUAGAGGUGCGUGUGAAAUGAGAAAAAUGUGUGGAAAAAUCAUUGAUCUUUUCUUUCUUUUUUUUUUUGGUCAAAGGAAAAAUCAUUUAUCAAUCGUCAAGUCUUACAUGACAACAUAUAAUUAUGAUCUUGAGUCCAUCUAUUGUUAUUGUUUAAUUAAUUGGAGUUGGAUGCUCUAUUUUGUCGACUUGACUUCAUUCUAUUAGUAAUUUUUCGAUCUAAGACGUUUAUUAGAAAUCGAUGAAUUGUACUGUACAUGUGAUUUACGUAACAAACAAAUUUAAAUAAGUUGGGAGAAUCCUUUGGUUUCUAAUAAAUGAAGGGUAGCCAGACAAUGGUACUACACGAUCUGUUGAUCUUAGCCGAAAGGUCAAAAAAUGUAUCUAUAUCAGGUUCAAUUCACAUAGUAAAAACCUACGAUUCAUGAUUUGUGUUAAGUUCGAUAUUUAGUUAUUACUUCUCCAUAGUGUGAUCAAGAAACAUCCUUCUCCCAGAGGACUACAAUAGAAUAUCGUUGCAUCAAAGGAGAAGAAACAAGAUAAUGAGUCAAAAUUAUGGUAUUGUUUGGUACAAUGCACAUAAUUAUAUGUUAACAUAUACUUAUAUUUUUAGGGUUACAACAAUUACUUAUAUUUGUAUGGAUAUCUUUCUGUGUUGGGAUCAACAGAAUCUCGACUAGAAGAGCCAGUACUAGAGCUUCCACCUUUGAAAGUCAAAGACCUUCCUGUGCUCAAAACAAAGGACCCACAAAAAUACUAUGAAGCAGUUUCUGGCUUGAAGAAGGCAGUCGAAGCCUCAUGUGGGAUCAUUUUCAAUACUUUUGAAGACAUUGAAGGAAAUUCACUGGCAACAAUCCGCCAAGAAUUCAACACUCCAAUUUUCCCCAUAGGCCCGCUUCACAAGUGCUUUCCUGCAAACACUUCUUCAAUCAGCAAUUUAUUAUCACAAGACCAAAGUUGCAUUCCAUGGCUGAACACUCAAGUACCACAAUCUGUCAUCUAUGUGAGCUUCGGGAGCAUUGCUGCAAUUAAUGAAACCCUAUUUUUGGAGAUAGCUUGGGGUCUAGCCAAUAGCAACCAACCCUUUUUGUGGGUGGUCCGACCCGGGUUAGUCCAUGGGUCAGAAUGGAUCGAACCAUUGCCUAGCGGGUUUAUCAAGGCCUUGAAUGGAAGGGGCCAAAUUUUGAAAUGGGCUCCACAAAAAAACGUGUUGGCACAUCAAGCCGUUGGAGUGUUUUGGACUCACAAUGGUUGGAACUCUACAUUGGAGAGUAUUUGUGAAGGGGUUCCCAUGAUUUGCAUGCCAUGUCUAAGUGAUCAAAUGGCAAAUGCAAGAUAUGUGAGUCAUGUGUGGAAAGUUGGGUUGCAGUUAGAGCAUGGGGUGGAUAGAAAGGAGAUUGAAAGAACAAUUAGAAAAAUAAUGGCGGAAAAAGAAGGGGAGGAGAUUAGAGAUAGAAUCUUAAUGCUAAUGGAAAAGGCAAAAAUUUGCAUCAAACAAGGUGGUUCUUCAUACCAAUCCUUGGAUGGCUUGGUUAAAUACAUUUUAUCCCAAUUUGCCAUUCAAUCUCAAAGGCAAUGAAUCUUCAAUUUGGUCUUUGGGUAGUUUAUGUAAUAUUAUCACAUGAAUAUUUUAUUUUUUGGUAUGAGAAGAUAUUGUGUUAUUUCCUUGAUCUUUAAUAUGCACUAUUUUUAUAAUACGUCAAUAAUUUAAUGUGUAGGCCUUGAUUUCAAUAAUAUUAUAACAUCAACCCGUCAUUACUUGUAGUUGAACUUAAAAAGGAUAUACUAAGCUGGUGAUAUUUGGAUUUACCUUUUCAAUUGUUCUUGAAAGCACGAAUAGAGUUUAUUAUUUCUUUAUUUAUUUAUUAUUUAUUUAUUUAUUUAUUUAUUUUUUAUUUAUUUAUUUUUUUUCUAAGUCAGUUUUUUCAAAGCGUGAGUGGGAAGGCUGGAAAGGUUCAAAGUCAAGCAGCUGACAUGGUCGAAACCCAAUCGUUCUCGAUAGGCUUCUCAUUGUCCGAUAUAUACUUCUCCCGUCGGUUCUAAGCAUCACAGUAUUACUUUUCGCUGCCACUACUAUUUUUUACUGGGAAAUUAAGCUCAGAACGUUUCAGGUACCUUGCUUCAUCAUUAUGACUUCUUUACCAUCUGUUUGGUUACCAAGAAAACGGAUUAAUGAUUAAUAGAAAGUUCAAUUCUUGCCCUGUGAACAAAAUCUAAUCUUUGUUUUCUGUUGAUAAUUCUAGAAUAAAUAGAGUUCUAAGGAAAAUGUUGCAUUCGAUUAUUUUUCUUCUCGAGUCUGUUUGUUAACAUUAUUAUUAUUAACGGUUAAUAGAAAGUUCAAUUCUUGCCCUGUGAACAAAAUCUAAUCCUUGUUUAUGUUGAUAGUUCUGGAAUAAGUAUAGUUUUAAUGAAAUUUGACCAGAAAUUAGAUGAGGUAAAAGCACAUCCCUGGCAUGCCAUCUUGUUCCAUUCUUUUUACCCUAUUUAUCAUUCUUACUUCGUACCAAAAGUAGUGUUUUGUAAUUCAAACCUGUGUUACGUUUUGGCAAUUUAUGAUUUCAAACAGUCAGUAAAUGUUUAAUUUAUAAGUUUGAUCAAUAUUUUAUCUUUCACAAAGGGUUAUUGGCUGCCUGCAUUUGAUAAUUUGAGCGAAUUGAAAAAGCAUCUAGUUUAUGCAAGAUGAGGUCAAUUCUUUAUAUUUCGUGAAGGAGUGUUGUCCGCCUGCUUUCGAUCAGUUGACCCAGUUGAAGUUGGUUCUUUAUGAUUGCUAUCGUUGGGAUUUGUUAACACAGUUGCUCAAGAAAUCACCUAAUUUGGAAUCUCUUGUCAUCGAAAAUAAAGAAGUAAGAUGUAUUCCCACUCAUGCGAAGUUAUACCAACUUCCAGCUAUGUACUGUUCUCAUCAUUUGUUCUCUUUCAGGACGAGGAAUGUGUUAAGGAUUAUGGGGAGCAUGACAGGUACUUGAGAAAUGUGUUAUACUCAGAGCACCGAUGGAGGACAACGGAGUCAGUGCCUAUUUGUCUGAUAUCACACCUCAAGACUAUCACUAUAAGGGGAUUUAAGGGAUACCCGCAUGUGAAGAAAGUGGCAAAGUAUUUGUUAAAGAACGGUAAAGUUUUGACUAAGAUGACUGUUAAUAACGAUGAGUUAUACAAAGAGCUAAUGCUUGAAAGGGGCUCUAGAACUUGUUGGGUUGAACUUGUCUAAAAUGUAAUGUUUAGCUUUUACAGCGGGUGUCGUUUGUAAGUCUAAUAAACGGGUUUAGAUGGAUUCUGUUCUCAAAGUUGCAAAUCACACAAGCACCUUUGUAAAUCUUAAGAUGGAUUGAUUUGUAGAUAUUUGUUUUGGACUGUAUACAUUUCUUAUCCACUUUGUAUUGCUUCUUUUAACCUCGGGGAGGAUUCGAUUGUGGUGACAUGAACAUAUAUGAAGGGAUGUGGUUAAGCUACUCAUGCCAUAGUCUGCCAGUUGACACUUGUGGCUGAUUUGGGAUCGAAGGAUCAAAGGACGGUAAAGUUUUUGACAAUAAUAUGAAUGACUAAGGUGCAAAAGGUCAAAGUAGAAGGGCUAGAAUUUUCAAAUUUCAAACUUUAAACUUGACAGUAGCAUCAGACGUGCAGUUAAUUUAUGCUUCAAAAGGCCAUUUCAGGACAAGGAAUGUGGUGAGGAUAACUCGAUCCGAUUAAGACAUAAACCUUCCAUAUGCUCAGAGCAUCUAUGGAACAUACCACAGUCUGCCUGCUUCUUUGAUAUCUCACCUCAAGACUAUCAUCAUGAGAGGACUCAAGGGAUACCCGCAUGAGAAGAAACCGGCAAAGUUUUUUUUUAUAUGGAUAUAAGUGAUCGAUUUCGAUAAUUAAUCCUAUAGGAACGAAUAUUAACCUCUGAUCGGAUUGAAUUGGAUUGAAGAAGACACAAUCCAAUUUACACUAUAUCAAAUGCGCAUCAACAAAAUAUUAUAAGGAAAAAAAUACUAGACAGUAGUACUACGUGACAAUUCUCUUCCGCUUAAUAUAGAUAAUAUUGUUUGUUAAAAAAUAAAAAUAAAAAGUUAAACCCUCCCCAUUUUGGGAUUUCAAUUUUAUUGUGAUACAAGGUAUAUGUGUAAAGAAAAAGCGAAUCAAAAGAGAAAAGUUAAACCUUUCUUGUUACAGCAAUUUUAUUUUCAUAACAGUUUCGCUAAAACGAAAUGAUAUUAAGGAUACAAACUUUCAAUUGAAUCAAAUGUAUUUCUAGGAAAAUUUUGAGAAAGACUAAUUAACAUUUGUUUUCCGACUGUGGCCUUAACAUAUAUAGAUUUUAGCAAAUGACCUUUUGUCUAAAUUUCUUUUCCUACAAAUAUAUCAAUUAAUAAAAUCUAAUUCGGGACCUUUAAUUUGGUGUUGGGGUCUUUGGCGGUUGCACCUAGCGCCCUCGCUAAAAAAUGAUUCACACGGAGAGAGAAACUCAACCAAAAUAUCUUUAUGAGUGCAUGGACAAAUGCUCAUAAUCUCAUAACCAUUUGAGAUUAAGCAAAUUCAAUUAAGUUAGGGCAAAAAAAAAAGGAUAUCCAUUGCAUACUCUGUAAAGAUUGUCCUAUUCAAUCUAACAUAAUAUUCCAUCUAAUAGUUUACCAAUAAAGAGUAAUAAUCUAACAUAAUAUUCCAUCUAGUAGUUUACCAAUAAAGAGUAAAUAACGAGCAACAUUCAUGUCAUAAUCAGUACAGUCCCCUCCAUAUUUUAUUCUUCCCACUAACUAGUGCAAACAUAAAAUAAUUCUUCCCCAGCUAGCUUGAAUUUCUUUUGGCUUAUUAAGUAGUUAAUCAUGAUCGCCUACAUGCUCUUUGCAUGUGAAACAGAGGAAGCUGUUUGAACUAUGUAACAUCCCACGUGAAUCAUGGAUUUCUUUGUUAAAAUGCUUAUUUUAGUCUUUUCGGUUUUUAAAAAGGUUAAUUACCGAAGCCAUCAAUUGAUUUUUUUUUUUAAUUUCAAAAAAAAAAACCAAAAGGGAGACGGGCUGGUUUGGUAUUGAUGUGCUUUGAAAAAAAACUGUUGUGAGAAUAAGCAGCUGUGAAAUAAAUCAGCAGAGUGUUUGGUAAACUUUUUUGUAAAAAUGCUUUUGGAAAAAAAAAAACAGUCUGAUAGUGGGUCUUUUCAUUAAAUGAGCACUGUAGCUCCGUGUGCUUUGAAAAAAAGCCAGUUUUCCAAAGUUGCAAAUAACUGCUUCAGCUUUUCCUUUGAUUUCAGCUUAUUCUCACAUCAUCUUCCAAAAUAAGCCAUUUUUUUUAGUUUACCAAACACCUAAAACCCUCACAGUUUUUUUUCAUGGGUGUUUUUUUUUUUAAGCACCUCACUCCCAAACCACCCCUUAUAGUGCUUUCAACCUAAUCAAGAGCCUUAGAUGCGAUUUCUAAAAUUGAAACCAAAUAGUAAGUGAGAAAAUUAACCCUCUAGAUUUUGAUGGAAAUUUAAUAAUAUUUUGAUAUUAAAUUUAUAAUUGGAUAAAAUUAGAAAAGAGUAUUUGUUGACGAAAAGAUGUGUGCGACCAAGCAUGUAUUUCAAAUGAAUAGGUGAAACUUUUUAUUUUUGGCAAUUAGCUACAAUAAACAUAUUUUGGCAGCUAAAAUGAUUAGUGUAUUAUGUCAUUACUAUAUUAUUAUUGUAUGAUCGUUAUGUCGUGUGUCGUAGAUAUAUGAUCAAUAUGUCGUCGUUAAAAAAAAUUGAUCAUUUAUACAAAUUAAAUGUCAAAAUAUGUUUAUUAUUGCUAAUUUUCCUUUUCCUUUUAAUGGUGAUCAAUGCUUUUCAAAAAAGGCACCUCAACUUUUAUAGAUAGAGAGUCAUCUUGCCUAAUUGUUAAAAGAAGAGAGUUUUAUCUGAAGUCAUUUAUUCUCACUAUUGACAUGUGAGUUUUUACAUUAAGUUUAUAGUAUGAGAAAGUUCAACACACCUUAGUUCAUUAGAGUUUUUAUUCGACACAUCUUGCCUAAUAUCAGAGAAUUCUUUUUUACUCGACCAGUUUUUAAUGUUUUUAUCCUAAUUUUCAUGUUCACUUAGUAUUGUGCUCCACUAUUAUUUUUUAAUAUAGGAAUUAGAACCUUAUUUUUUUUUUUUUUUUUGAAACAGAAUUAGAACCUUAUUUUUCUACAUAUUUUAGAGCAAUGGGGUUCAUCUUCAUCAUUGCAGGGGCAAUGAUUGAGUUAGAAAAAUCUGAAAUAAUGCGGAGGCGCACUAGUUGGUGCUACUUUGUUAACAAAAAGGUACUACCCUAGAAAAUUAAGAUCAGAUGGAAAAAAGAAAAAGAAAAUUAAGAUCAGAUCAAUGGUCAAAGUCGUUCUUUGAUUGUGUUACAUAUCCGUCAAAAUCUUUGCACGUGUAUGUUGAAAUUGAUGAGUAAACUGUCGGUUUACCUCCUGAAUUUUCACCUUAUUUUCAAUUUCCCCCCUGAACUUUUCUAUUGGAAAAUUAAGGACUCAAACUAAUUUUUUUACCCAAUUUCCCCCCUACCGUUAGUUUUUCAUAUAUUCCAUCCAUAUUUCUGUUAAGUGAGACCAUAUGCACAACAUUUGAGGGUAGUUAAGUCAUUUCACUCUUAAAAAUGAUUAAAAAACUGAAAAUAAAAAAAAAACAAAACUUUCCCUCUAUUUUUUCCCGCUAAUUCCUAUCUUCGAUUUUAUUUUUCCCUCUCAUUCCUAUGCAUGAGAAAUGACAUAUGAUGUUAUUGUCUACCAUUUUUAUUUUCUCUAACAAAUUAAUAAUUUGACAAAUACUAAUGGUGCUAUUGUCUCCAAAGCAAUGCAUUAAUAUAAGAAACCCUAGUCUUUUUUAUGGACAUGUUUCUUAUAUUAAUGUACUGCUUUGGAGACAAUAACAUCAUGAACAUUCGUCAAAUUAUUAAUUUGUUAGAGACAAUAAAAAUGGUAGUACAUGCUUCAAGAAAAAGAUUAGCUUAGCUACUUAUGAAGACAAUAACACCAUAUGUCAUUUCUCAUGUAUAGGAAUGAGAGGGCAAAAAAUAAAAUUGAGAAUAGGAAUUAGCGGGAAAAAAUAGAGGGAAAAUUUUUAUUAUUAUUUAUUUUCAGUUUUUAAUCAUUUUUAAGAGUGAAAUGACUUAACUAUCCUCACAUGUUGUGCACAUGAUCUCACUUAACGGAAAUAUGGAUGAAAUAUAUGAAAAACUAACGGUAGGGGGCAAAUUGGCUAAAAAAAUUAGUUUGAGUUCUUAAUUUUCCAAUAGAAAAAUUCAGGGGGGAAAUCGAAAAUAGAGUGAAAGUUUAGGGGGUAAACCGACAGUUUACAUUGAUUGAAUGACGGUAAGAACAUGCAUUCUC